GAACGCGAAGAACCUUACCAGGUCUUGACAUCCAGUGCAAACCUAAGAGAUUAGGUGUUCCCUUCGGGGACGCUGAGACAGGUGGUGCAUGGCUGUCGUCAACUCGUGUCGUGAGAUGUUGGGUUAAGUCCCGCAACGAGCGCAACCCUUGUCAUUAGUUGCCAUCAUUAAGUUGGGCACUCUAAUGAGACUGCCGGUGACAAACCGGAGGAAGGUGGGGAUGACGUCAAGUCAUCAUGCCCCUUAUGACCUGGGCUACACACGUGCUACAAUGGACGGUACAACGAGAAGCGAACCUGCGAAGGCAAGCGGAUCUCUUAAAGCCGUUCUCAGUUCGGACUGUAGGCUGCAACUCGCCUACACGAAGCUGGAAUCGCUAGUAAUCGCGGAUCAGCACGCCGCGGUGAAUACGUUCCCGGGUCUUGUACACACCGA
rnacentral:rRNA from 1 species